AUUGAACGCUGGCGGCAGGCCUAACACAUGCAAGUCGAGCGGAUGAAGGGAGCUUGCUCCUGGAUUCAGCGGCGGACGGGUGAGUAAUGCCUAGGAAUCUGCCUGGUAGUGGGGGAGAACGUCCGGAAACGGGCGCUAAUACCGCAUACGUCCUGAGGGAGAAAGUGGGGGAUCUUCGGACCUCACGCUAUCAGAUGAGCCUAGGUCGGAUUAGCUAGUUGGUGGGGUAAAGGCCUACCAAGGCGACGAUCCGUAACUGGUCUGAGAGGAUGAUCAGUCACACUGGAACUGAGACCCGGUCCAGACUCCUACGGGAGGCAGCCGUGGGGAAUAUUGGACAAUGGGCGAAAGCCUGAUCCAGACAUGCCGCGUGUGUGAAGAAGGUCUUCGGAUUGUAAAGCACUUUAAGUUGGGAGGAAGGGCAGUAAGUUAAUACCUUGCUGUUUUGACGGUACCAACAGAAUAAGCACCGGCUAACUUCGUG
rnacentral:rRNA from 1 species